rnacentral:tRNA from 1 species
CAUUGGAUAGCUCAAUUGGUUAGAGCAUCGGUCUCAUAAACCGACUGUUGCGGGUUCGAUUCCCGCUCCAAAAC